CUCUUCACGGGGAUUUCUGCUGCCGCCACCGCCCACUCUUACCCCCGCCGCUUCUCGACUCUGUUGUUAGCCGAAGACUCGCCUCUCAGCCGCCCGCCGCACAGACGCACGAGUAAAAAGUGCAGCUCCAUCGGCUGAUCCUCGCUAAGCUCCGACUCUGGGCGGCACCGGGCGUCCCACGAUGCCGAAGAACAAGAAGCGGAACACUCCCCACCGCGGUAGCAGUGCUGGCGGCGGCGGGUCAGGAGCAGCCGCAGCGACGGCGGCGACAGCAGGUGGCCAGCAUCGAAAUGUUCAGCCUUUUAGUGAUGAAGAUGCAUCAAUUGAAACAAUGAGCCAUUGCAGUGGUUAUAGCGAUCCUUCCAGUUUUGCUGAAGAUGGACCAGAAGUCCUUGAUGAGGAAGGAACUCAAGAAGACCUAGAGUACAAGUUGAAGGGAUUAAUUGACCUAACCCUGGAUAAGAGUGCGAAGACAAGGCAAGCAGCUCUUGAAGGUAUUAAAAAUGCACUGGCUUCAAAAAUGCUGUAUGAAUUUAUUCUGGAAAGGAGAAUGACUUUAACUGAUAGCAUUGAACGCUGCCUGAAAAAAGUGUGCAACUUGCUUUGGUGUUUGCUGUUUUAUUGCCACAGAUGACAUUACUGAACUAUACUCAACUCUGGAAUGUUUGGAAAAUAUCUUCACUAAAUCCUAUCUCAAAGAGAAAGACACUACUGUUAUUUGCAGCACUCCUAAUACAGUGCUUCAUAUCAGCUCUCUUCUUGCAUGGACACUACUGCUGACCAUAUGCCCAAUCAAUGAAGUGAAGAAAAAGCUUGAGAUGCAUUUCCAUAAGCUUCCAAGCCUCCUCUCUUGUGAUGAUGUAAACAUGAGAAUAGCUGCUGGUGAAUCUUUGGCACUUCUCUUUGAAUUGGCCAGAGGAAUAGAGAGUGACUUUUUUUAUGAAGACAUGGAGUCCUUGACGCAGAUGCUUAGGGCCUUGGCAACAGAUGGAAAUAAACACCGGGCCAAAGUGGACAAGAGAAAGCAGCGGUCAGUUUUCAGAGAUGUCCUGAGGGCAGUGGAGGAACGGGAUUUUCCAACAGAAACCAUUAAAUUUGGUCCUGAACGCAUGUAUAUUGAUUGCUGGGUAAAAAAACACACCUAUGACACCUUUAAGGAGGUUCUUGGAUCAGGGAUGCAGUACCACUUGCAGUCAAAUGAAUUCCUUCGAAAUGUAUUUGAACUUGGACCCCCAGUGAUGCUUGAUGCUGCAACGCUUAAAACGAUGAAGAUUUCUCGUUUCGAAAGGUAGAGACGGGAUUUCACCGUGUUAGCCAGGAUGGUCUCAAUCUCCUGACCUCGUGAUUCGCCCACCUCGGCCUCCCAGAGUGCUGGGAUUACAGCAUUUAUAUAACUCUGCAGCCUUCAAAGCUCGAACCAAAGCUAGAAGCAAAUGUCGAGAUAAGAGAGCAGAUGUUGGAGAAUUCUUCUAGAUUUUCAGAACUUGAAGACUAUUUUCUAAUUUCUAUUUUUUUUUCUAUUUCAAUGUAUUUAAACUCUAGACACAGUUUUUAUCCUGGAUUAACUUAGAUAACUUUUGUAGCAGUGGUUAUAUUGCUUAUAAUUUAAUGUACAAUACUAUUGAAACUGGUGAGUUCUGAUUAUUAAAUAUUCUCUGUAAAUCAGUAAACAUGUAUAAAGUAUUUGUAAUGUUUGGUCAUAAUUUAUUUAUGAAGACAGCAAAAGACUGAUUUCAUGAUGGGGAAAACAAUUAGCCAAAGUUUAAUUUCUUACACUGUGGUUGUCAAGAAUACUGAUUUACUAUAAUGAUAUAUACAUGCAAGAUAUUUAACUUAAUAUCUUAGACAAGAGUUCUGGGUACAAUUUUGGGAUCUAGUUCCCCUGGAAAAGCUGCUGUAUUUUUAAUUUUUAAUGGAAUGUAGCUUUUAAAAUCCUGUCACUGGCAUCAACAAAAGGAAUUAUACCAUGAGACCUUAUAGCUGUACUUAAAAGCCAUUCAGUUCAGCUAUUGGGAGUUCAUGAUGAAUUAGCAUAUGCCAGAAAGGUUGCUAACCUUAACAUCUGAGAGCAGUAACACUGAUUUUAUCUGCUGUAUGAGACUUUGUGCAUUUUACUUUGAAAUAAAGAUUUUUUUCCACACUGAAAGUGCUUCUCUUCUAAUAGAAGAAAUAUUAUUUAUGGCUUUGAGGUACAGAGUCCAAAAUGACUAGGCCAGGUGGGCAGGGAGACAAAGCUUUAUGUGUAUAUUUACAAACAUUAAAGUAGAUGAAAAGAAUGUAGCAAUACAUAAUUGGGAUUAAGGUUUCUGACUUUCAAGAAUAUUUCUGCUUGGCAACAUGCAGUGUGGCUCAUGCCUAUAAUCAGCACUCUGGGGAGGCUGAGGCGGGAGGAUGGCAUGAGCCCAGUUUGAGACCAGCCUGGGCAACAUAGCGAGACCCUGUCUCUACCAGAAAUUUAAAAAAUGAGUGUGGUGGUGUGUGCUUCUACUCUUUAUCUACUUGGGUGCUGAGGCAAGAGGGUAACUUGAGCCCAGGAGGUCAAAGCUGCAGUGAGCCGUGAUUGUGCCACUCCAGCCUGGGUGACGAGUGAGACCUUGUCUCAAAAGCAAAACAAAAAAGAAUAUUGCUGCUUGUUUGCCCAUGAGGUAUAUUUCUUUCAUUUUAUGAAAAGCAUUUUGACAACACGUUAACAUUUAAUAAACUUUAGAUUAAAAUAUAUAGUGCAAGCAACAUGCCAUUUCAAAUCCGUAGACUUGUUUCUUUGAUACUCUUGCUGUAGGUCGCCGUGAGGGGUAGGGAAGCAUAUAUACUGUAGGGAGAAGUAUCAAAAUCAUUUAAGGUCUUUUUUCCAAACUAGUGUUCCCCUCCCACAUCCCAACAACUCUUGGAAGUCUGGUGCUCCCUCUAGGUGAAAAUCAUUUGCUGGCUUAUGGAGUCACUGUUGCUGAGUCCCAUCCCCCAGUUACAGUGCAGUGGAAAACAGGUUUAGAAUCUAGAACUUGUUUGUAUGUUGUCACUUGGUUAUGUUCCAAGUAGGUUAGAACCAUGGAAAAGAGAUUGCAAAUGGUAGUUUCUUCUAGAUAUUCAAAUGCAUAUAUGUAUGUACAUGUAAUUAUAAAUAAAUAAUGAAUUUUUAUUAAAGUGUUGUAUGAACAUA
rnacentral:lncRNA from 1 species